UUAUAUAUUUUCAUUCUUCUAUGAGAUAAACUUAUUUCAAUGAUCAAUAAAACUACCAAUUAGUUUGUAUAGGUAUGCGAAAUAAAUUUGGAAUGUAUGAAAGACAACAAAAACAAUCGUAUUCUUAUGAACAUACAAUUGUUUUCUAAGAAUGUUAUUGUUACAGCAAUAACAUAUAAGUACUUGACCUAUUUGAUAGAUACAAAAAAAAACUAUUUAAAAUAAAUUAUUGAUUUUCAAGUUAACGAAAUUCCUUUGACAAAUUUAUUAGUUGUUAGAACGAAUUCAUAGCGGGAAGUGAAUAAACAAUGUUUUAAAUUGAAAACAAAAUCGUUACACGUGCUACAUUUUGUAUGGGUAUGUUUGAGUCUGCCGGUUUGGUCGUAACACAAACUGCAAACAUGUGCAAUAUCGCAAAACAUAAUUAAAAUAGAAAAAACACGUUUUCUUGCGGCGACGGACCGGCACGCGUAGGUUGCAAAAAAUGCAUUGUUGGCGAGCCGUCGCCCGGCCGCGAGCCGCAGAACUUGUGUACUUACAAGUUCUGUGCGCGACGGCGUUCAUCACCACAUAUCACUGUCGAGCUUUAUUUUAUCAUCGACCGACUGACCUUCAUGGACAUAGUAGAAUAUCUAUUGUUAGAAAAUUUACUUUGUAAGUGAUUUGUUAAUAUAUAAAGUUUAAAACAACUCAAAGAGUUCGCCCUACUGUUGACUUAUUUAUUUUGGACGAGAUUAAAGGUUGUCUUGGAAGUA